CGUAGGGUGCGAGCGUUAUCCGGAAUUAUUGGGCGUAAAGAGCUCGUAGGCGGUUUGUCGCGUCUGUCGUGAAAGUCCGGGGCUUAACCCCGGAUCUGCGGUGGGUACGGGCAGACUAGAGUGCAGUAGGGGAGACUGGAAUUCCUGGUGUAGCGGUGGAAUGCGCAGAUAUCAGGAGGAACACCGAUGGCGAAGGCAGGUCUCUGGGCUGUAACUGACGCUGAGGAGCGAAAGCAUGGGGAGCGACAGGAUU
rnacentral:rRNA from 1 species